AUGUACCACUCGCAUACGGCGCUUCUUCCGCGGCGUCCGCACCCACCGUAGGGCUGCUGGCUACGUGUUGUUAGCC
rnacentral:sRNA from 1 species